CGGUGUUCAACUGGCGUGUCCGCGGGACGUCCUGCCGGUGGGCUUAGCCCGCAAGGGCGGCCCAACUUCAAAUCCCAUCGCGGUGCUCUUCACUGAGUGUCGAGGUGGGCCGGCACGUUUACUUUGAACAAAUUAGAGUGCUUAAAGCAGGCUAAAACUUCGCCUGAAUACUGUGUGCAUGGAAUAAUGGAAUAGGACCUCGGUUCUAUUUUGUUGGUUUUCGGAACCCCGAGGUAAUGAUUAAUAGGAACGGAUGGGGGCAUUCGUAUUGCGACGUUAGAGGUGAAAUUCUUGGAUCGUCGCAAGACGGACAGAAGCGAAAGCAUUUGCCAAAAACGCUUUCAUUGAUCAAGAACGAAAGUUAGAGGUUCGAAGGCGGUCAGAUACCGCCCUAGUUCUAACCAUAAACGAUGCCAGCUAGCGAUCCGUCGACGUUCCUCCGAUGACUCGACGGGCAGCUUCCGGGAAACCAAAGCUUUUGGGUUCCGGGGGAAGUAUGGUUGCAAAGCUGAAACUUAAAGGAAUUGACGGAAGGGCACCACCAGGAGUGGAGCCUGCGGCUUAAUUUGACUCAACACGGGAAACCUCACCAGGCCCGGACACCGGAAGGAUUGACAGAUUGAGAGCUCUUUCUUGAUUCGGUGGGUGGUGGUGCAUGGGCCGUUCUUAGUUGGUGGAGCGAUUUGUCUGGUUAAUUCCGAUAACGAACGAGACUCUAGCCUGCUAACUAGGCGUAUUUUCGACAUCUCAAAGGUCCGUCGUCCCGGCCCUCGGGUCGUGGGCGUGCGCGAUUUUUACUGUCGGCGUACUAUCAAUUCUUCUUAGAGGGACAGGUGGCUUCUAGCCGCACGAGAUUGAGCAAUAACAGGUCUGUGAUG
rnacentral:rRNA from 1 species